UUCAGGAUGGCAGAAAAAUGUAAUAGAUUUAGAAUCUAUGUAUGGGGUUAAAGCCUCUCUUGAA
rnacentral:tRNA from 1 species